rnacentral:rRNA from 1 species
AGUCUACCUGCCCACUGAAUAAAUUUAAAUGGCCGCAGUAUACUAACUGUGCAAAGGUAGCAUAAUCAUUAGUCUUUUAAUUGAAGGCUUGUAUGAAUGGUUGGACGAGAUAUUAACUGUUUCAUAAAAAUUUAUAAUAGAAUUUUAUUUUUUAGUCAAAAAGCUAAAAUAAAAUUAAAAGACGAGAAGACCCUAUAAAUCUUUAUAUAUAAAUUAUUAGAAUUUUAUAGAUUUUUUUUAUUAUAAUAAUUAAUUAUAUUUUAUUGGGGUGAUAUUAAAAUUUAAUAAACUUUUAAUUGUUUAAAUCAUUAAUUUAUGAAAUAUUGAUCCGUUAAUAGCGAUUAAAAAAAUAAGUUACUUUAGGGAUAACAGCGUAAUUUUUUUGGAGAGUUCAUAUCGAUAAAAAAGAUUGCGACCUCGAUGUUGGAUUAAGAUAUAAUUUUAGGUGUAGCCGCUUAAAUUUUAAGUCUGUUCGACUUUUAAAUUCUUAC